GACGGAGGAUGCAAGCGUUAUCCGGAGUUACUGGGCGUAAAGGGCGCGGAGGCGGUCUGCGGCGUCGGCGCUGAAAGCGCCCCGCUUAACGGGGCGAGGCGUGCCGAUACGCGCAGACUUGAGGCGAGCAGAGGGUGGUGGAAUUCCGGGUGGAGCGGUGAAAUGCGUAGAGAUCCGGAGGAACGCCAGUGGGGAAGCCGGCCACCUGGGCUCGUCCUGACGCUGCGGCGCGACCGCGUGGGGAGCAAACCGG
rnacentral:rRNA from 1 species